AUAACAGAUAAAGAUUUUAGAAAAAAAAUUAAAAGUAUUACGCAAUUAUUAAUUUAUUACUUUUAAAAAAAAAAAAAAAAAAAAAUAGCGUUAGCAUUAGCAAUAGUAACACAAGAUUAAAUAUAUAAAUAUAAUCAUAUAUUAAUGUAAAUUUUAAUAAAUAACAUUUGGUAAAAAGAUAUGAAGAUAAUAUUAAAUAAAACUUAAUUUGAAUAAUACAAAAGAUAAGUAUAUAAGUAUAUGGAUAUCUAAGUGUAUAGGUAUAUAGUGACAUAGAUAUAUAAGUAUAUGAAUAUAUAAGUAUAUAUCUAUUUUUUUUAUUUUUUUUUAAUUUAACAUUUUAAAAUAUUAAGGUGUAUGUCUUAUCUUUAAAUUAGAGGAAAAAAUGAGUAACACUGAGAACGUCGAUAUAGAGAUACUGAAAUUUUUGCAAUGUGCAUUUAAAGAAGGCGUAAAAGUAAAAAGUGCAGCCGAAGUUGGAAAAAGGGCUGUGGAGUACUUUAGAGGUGAUGAUUUUGUUAAUUUUAUGAAUGACAAAAAGGAAAUGAUAAAAAAGAAAUUUCCAAAUUUAUUUAGUAAUAAGAAAUUGGCUGAUUUAAAAGAUAUAGAAGAUUUUGCUGACAUGUUAAUACAAAAAGGAUAUAUAUAUAAAGCUCAAUAUAAACCUAUUAAAGGAAUAAAUGAAAUGGAUGAGAAUGGAGUAUAUAAAAGACCUAAAUGGCCUAAAAGAUUAAUUAUGACAUCUAAACAAAAUUUUGAUAAAAAUGGUUUUUAUAUUUUAGUACAUGAAAGAAAUACUAGAUUACAAUAUGUUAUGUUAAUAACAUUAAUAACUAUUGUUUUAAUUUGUUGUAUGUUUCCAGUUUGGCCAUUAAAAUUAAAAUUAGCAUUAUGGCAUUUAUCAGUAGUAUUUAUAUGUUUAAUUUCUUUUAUAGUAAUAGGAAGGUUAAUAACAUUUUUAUUUUUUUGGUUUUUUUGGAGUCGAUUAUUGGAUAUUUCCUAAUUUAUUUGAUGAAGAAUGUAAUGUGAUUGAAUCAUUUAUUCCUUUUCAUACGUGGCAUUAUCGAAACGAUACAUGGUUUCUUGUCAUUGCUCGAGCAUUUACUGCUGUUUUAUUGGCAAUAGGUAUACACCAAUUAGGAAAAACACAUUCUAUAUCAGAUAUUCAAAAUUUUGCAAAACAGUCAUUUAUUGACAUAAUAGAAUGGGGUAAUAAAAAAUUAUCUGAUACCCCA
ensembl:lncRNA